rnacentral:rRNA from 1 species
GACGAACGCUGGCGGCGUGCUUAACACAUGCAAGUCGAACGGAAAGGCCCUGCUUUUGUGGGGUGCUCGAGUGGCGAACGGGUGAGUAACACGUGAGUAACCUGCCCUUGACUUUGGGAUAACUUCAGGAAACUGGGGCUAAUACCGGAUAGGAGCUCCUGCUGCAUGGUGGGGGUUGGAAAGUUUCGGCGGUUGGGGAUGGACUCGCGGCUUAUCAGCUUGUUGGUGGGGUAGUGGCUUACCAAGGCUUUGACGGGUAGCCGGCCUGAGAGGGUGACCGGCCAGAUUGGGACUGAGAUACGGCCCAGCCUGCUACGGGAGGCAGCAGUGGGGAAUAUUGCACAAGGGGCGGAAGCCUGAUGCAGCAACGCCGCGUGCGGGAUGACGGCCUUCGGGUUGUAAACCGCUUUCGCCUGUGACGAAGCGUGAGUGACGGUAAUGGGUAAAGAAGCACCGGCUAACUACGUG